GCCUUCGCAGUCGCAGAGCAAUCAUAAAAAACAAAUCGGCAAAAAGAGGAAAAAAAAAAAGAAAAAACACAGACCGACUAGUACUCAUGUACUCUUGAAAACCCGACAACAACUUAAGGGGGCAAAGAAGAAGAAAAAAAAAAGCGACCGCGACUAACUACACAAGACAUUUUUAUAUGGCGUCGGUGACAACGUGGCUCGCAAAUUAGUUACGUAAGAGAGUUAUGGCCACAAGAAUCGGCGACGACUCGUAAGGUUAAGAAGCUGACAUCCGUGGCGUUUCGGGGUUAAGAGCUAGCUGCCAAUGAGCUGAGAGUUAUGAGCCUGCUCUGGGUCAACACCAACAUUCAGAUCUGCUUUAAAUAGCCAAAUCGCUUGGAAAUCCCUGAACAUAAAGCUACAUCCCGAGAUUUGCAAAUGACAUCAGUACGCCAGACAAAAAAAAAAAUAAGUCUUAUCUUAUCCUAAACAACUUGGACUGUCACUCUACGAAUAUGACCAAAUAUGUUACUCAAGUUUUACCUCGGAGUAAAACCGAAUGGGACAAUGCGAUCUUAUCACUAAGGAGUGUUAUUCACUUGGUAAUUCCCACAUUAGAAUUCU
ensembl:ncRNA lncRNA:CR44720 long non-coding RNA:CR44720